rnacentral:rRNA from 1 species
AUUGAACGCUGGCGGCAGGCCUAACACCUGCAAGUCGAGCGGAGCGGCGGACGGGUGAGUAAUGCCUAGGAAUCUGCCUGGUAGUGGGGGAUAACGUCCGGAAACGGGCGCUAAUACCGCAUCCUAUCAGAUGAGCCUAGGUCGGAUUAGAUAGUUGUGGGGGUAAAGGCCUACCCAGGCGACGAUCCGUAACUGGUCUGAGAGGAUGAUCAGUCAAACUGGAACUGAGACACGGUCCAGACUCCUACGUGAGGCAGCAGUGGGGAAUAUUGGACAAUGGGCGAAAGCCUGAUCCAGCCAUGCCGCGUGUGUGAAGAAGGUCUUCGGAUUGUAAAGCACUUUAAGUUGGGAGGCGUUACCAACAGAAUAAGCACCGGCUAACUUCGUGCCAGCAGCCGCGGUAAUUC